rnacentral:rRNA from 1 species
CCUACGGGAGGCAGCAGUGGGGAAUAUUGGGCAAUGGGCGCAAGCCUGACCCAGCAACGCCGCGUGAAGGAUGAAGGUUUUCGGAUUGUAAACUUCUGUCGCGAGGGACGAAGAAUGACGGUACCUCGUAAGAAAGCCCCGGCUAACUACGUGCCAGCAGCCGCGGUAAUACGUAGGGGGCAAGCGUUGUCCGGAAUGACUGGGCGUAAAGGGAGUGUAGGCGGCCUUGUAAGUUAGAUGUGAAAUCCUACGGCUUAACCGUAGAACUGCAUCUAAAACUGUGAGGCUGGAGUGCAGGAGAGGUGAGUGGAAUUCCUAGUGUAGCGGUGGAAUGCGUAGAUAUUAGGAGGAACACCAGAGGCGAAGGCGACUCACUGGACUGUAACUGACGCUGAGGCUCGAAAGCGUGGGGAGCAAACAGGAUUAGAUACCCGAGUAGUC